UGAACUUCCAUAUAUUCCAGAAGAGGAAAUUCUAGUUAAGGAGAGUUAAUACCAUAUCAUGUGACAUCCAGGAAUCAUGUCAUCCACAGCAGUCAUGUAAAUUAUAAACUAGGUUUUAUAGAGACUGCCAUGGUUUGCUUUCUGUUGCUAUGAUAUUACAAUGAGUAGGUGCUGGAGAUAUGGCCCUGUGGUUAAGAGCAUUCAUAGGAUCCCUGUUUGAUUUCUGACACUGUAUCUGUAUCUCCAGUUCUAGAGGAAUUGAUGCCCUCUUCUGGCCUUUGAAGGCACAGUCAUGUAAGUGAUACACAGACAUAUAUUCAGGCAAAACAGCUAUAUUAAAAAAAUACAUUUUUUAACUUAAAAAUAAAACACUGGUCAAAACCUGUUUUGGAUGAAAGGGUUUGUUUGUCUUAUAUGUUGAAUCAUUGAAGGAAGCUGAGGCAGGAACUCAGGCAGAGACCAUGGAAGAUUGCUGUUGCACUGGCUUGCUCUCCUAGCUUGCUUAGCUAGCUUCCUUUGGUAGUUCAGGCCCACCUGCCUAGGGAUAGCACCACCCAUGGUGGACUGGGCUACAUCUACUAGCAAUGAAGAAAAUGCCUUACAGACAUGUCCAUGGACCAAUCUGAUCAAUGACAUCCCCCAGUUGAGACUCCCUCAGGUAACUCUGGGCUGUGUCAACUUGACAGCUGAAGCUGACUAGGACAGAGACUGUUAGUCCAUGUCAUCAUAUCUUGUGCCGAAGACCCAGUGAUCUUACUUGGAGAUGCAGACUCCUGCAAUCUUGCAGCUUCACCAUGAGAAGACCUUUGCAGGCUUUCCCUUAUUGUGAAAUCGCUCCCAGGCUGUGAAGUUGCCAUAGUUCUUGGUGAGGAGCAGGGUGGAAGGGAAAGGACCUUCAGGAUGAGCAGCUACAUGCCUAUGAAGAGAAAUUUAUACACACCAACAAGGACUUGGAGAAAUUAAGAAGUGAUGGAGUUUUGAUGUUCCAGCAAGUGCCCAUGGUGGAGGUGGAUGGAAUGAAGCUGGUGCAGACCAGGGCCAUUCUCA